GAGGGGGAGGGAUGUGGGGGGAGUGUACGGUGUUCUGGGCCAGGCUUCCAGAACCUUUAAUUCAGAAUCAGAAUAAAUUUAUAGAAAUCUAAACUACUGCAUCGAUUUUCUUCAAACUUUUUGUGUAAACUUACAGUAAUUUAUCUCAGCGGAUAGGUAAGUUUCGAUUCAUUUGGUAAUACUAAAUUUUAUUUCAUUUUAUGCGGAUUUAGUCAUUAGCUUUUUGUGACUUAGGACAACCACAACAUCAAUUCGAUUGUCUGUUUGUUUUGUUUUUGUUGCUGAUUUACCAGUUACCGAACGUUGUCAUCAUGUUGACAUGGCAAAAGACUAUACUAUGGAUUACCUUAUUCAUCAUUGUCAUUGUAAUUGUUUCGCAUAGCUAAAUGCUUCAUGAAGGGAAAAUGACCAUGAUUUUCAUGGUAGUGUAUUAAACCAUUUCUCUGAGUCACUCACUGAUUUUGUUGUGACGCCCAGUAAAAUGACCAUUAAAUGGGUUUGCUUGAUUUUCAUGGUAGUGCACUAAACCAUUUCUGUGAGUCACUCACUGAUAUCAACACCAUAUGAUGAGUAGUCAUCAUGUAUGGCUAAUGAUUAGAAGUUAGACAUGAAUAUGUAUCGUCCUCACCUAAAUUUGGAUGUGCACAUGUCUGUUUCAGAAAGAAAGUUAAGGAUAGGAGAAGAUGAGCACAUUAGCUUAGGCAUACCAGUAAUUUUAAAUCUACGUUGAUUGCAUCUGUUGGAAAAAUGGAAAUUUAUUUAACAUUUGAUUUUAACUGAAUAGUCGUAUGUGUAAUAUUUUCAAAUGCAAUCAUUGAUGUCUUAAAAUCUUCGAGAGCUGUGCCGUAUCACGACAGAAAUGUUUACCUAAAUCACAUUUUGACUUGGCAUUGUUGUAAUCAUUGUAAUUUUUCAUUUUCUAAUAUACCACCGUUUUAACUAUU
rnacentral:lncRNA from 1 species